rnacentral:ncRNA from 1 species
GUAGAUUUUGGUGUGUGUCGGUGACUCCGUUUGAGCCAGGGACGCCUGGCGAGGAGCCGCCGCCUAAUCCAAAACUCGCUCCCUCUUCUUAUGGUCUUAGGGACCAUGGCAUUGCGCGAACGCCCGCUCGGGC